GGGCGCAAGCCUGAUCCAGCCAUGCCGCGUGAAAGGAUUAAGGUCCUCUGGAUUGUAAACUUCUUUUAUAAGGGACGAAAAAAGGGAAUUCUUUCUCACUUGACGGUACCUUAUGAAUAAGCACCGGCUAACUCCGUGCCAGCAGCCGCGGUAAUACGGAGGGUGCAAGCGUUAUCCGGAUUCACUGGGUUUAAAGGGUGCGUAGGCGGGUAUUUAAGUCAGUGGUGAAAUCCUAGAGCUUAACUCUAGAACUGCCAUUGAUACUAUUUAUCUUGAAUAUUGUGGAGGUAAGCGGAAUAUGUCAUGUAGCGGUGAAAUGCUUAGAUAUGACAUAGAACACCUAUUGCGAAGGCAGCUUACUACGCAUAUAUUGACGCUGAGGCACGAAAGCGUGGGGAUCAAACAGGAUUAGAUACCCUGGUAGUCCACGCCCUAAACGAUGGAUACUCGACAUACGCGAUACACUGUGUGUGUCUGAGCGAAAGCAUUAAGUAUCCCACCUGGGAAGUACGACCGCAAGGUUGA
rnacentral:rRNA from 1 species